GCCCUUAGAGUUUGAUCCUGGCUCAAGAUGAACGCUGGCGGCGUGCUUAACACAUGCAAGUCGAACGAAGUUCAUUACCAUAUUUCUUCGGACUGAAGGUUUUGAACUUAGUGGCGGACGGGUGAGUAACGCGUGGGUAACCUGCCUCAUACAGGGGGAUAACAGUUAGAAAUGACUGCUAAUACCGCAUAAGCGCACAGGAUCGCAUGAUCCGGUGUGAAAAACUCCGGUGGUAUGAGAUGGACCCGCGUCUGAUUAGGUAGUUGGUGAGGUAACGGCCCACCAAGCCGACGAUCAGUAGCCGACCUGAGAGGGUGACCGGCCACAUUGGGACUGAGACACGGCCCAAACUCCUACGGGAGGCAGCAGUGGGGAAUAUUGCACAAUGGGGGAAACCCUGAUGCAGCGACGCCGCGUGAGCGAAGAAGUAUUUCGGUAUGUAAAGCUCUAUCAGCAGGGAAGAAAAUGACGGUACCUGACUAAGAAGCCCCGGCUAACUACGUGCCAGCAGCCGCGGUAAUACGUAGGGGGCAAGCGUUAUCCGGAUUUACUGGGUGUAAAGGGAGCGUAGACGGCGAAGCAAGUCUGAUGUGAAAACCCGGGGCUUAACCCCGGGACUGCAUUGGAAACUGUUUUGCUAGAGUGCCGGAGAGGUAAGCGGAAUUCCUAGUGUAGCGGUGAAAUGCGUAGAUAUUAGGAGGAACACCAGUGGCGAAGGCGGCUUACUGGACGGUAACUGACGUUGAGGCUCGAAAGCGUGGGGAGCAAACAGGAUUAGAUACCCUGGUAGUCCACGCCGUAAAC
rnacentral:rRNA from 1 species